rnacentral:rRNA from 1 species
GACGAACGCUGGCGGCGUGCUUAACACAUGCCAGUCGAACGGAAAGGCCCUGCUUUUGUGGGGUGCUCGAGUGGCGAACGGGUGAGUAACACGUGAGUAACCUGCCCUUGACUUUGGGAUAACUUCAGGAAACUGGGGCUAAUACCGGAUAGGAGCUCCUGCUGCAUGGUGGGGGUUGGAAAGUUUCGGCGGUUGGGGAUGGACUCGCGGCUUAUCAGCUUGUUGGUGGGGUAGUGGCUUACCAAGGCUUUGACGGGUAGCCGGCCUGAGAGGGUGACCGGCCACAUUGGGACUGAGAUACGGCCCAGACACCUACGGGAGGCAGCAGUGGGGAAUAUUGCACAAUGGGCGGAAGCCUGAUGCAGCAACGCCGCGUGCGGGAUGACGGCCUUCGGGUGGUAAACCGCUUUCGCCUGUGACGAAGCGUGAGUGACGGUAAUGGGUAAAGAAGCACCGGCUAACUACGU